UCUAAUAGUACAAAUAAAUUUUUUUGGUAAUUGAUUAAAUUGUUCAAUUAAUUGUUAUUAGUAAUUUUUAGGUGAAAUUAGAAUUAUUAAUAAUUUUUUUAUUAAAGAUUGAGGUCUAUAAAUUAAUGAUUAAACUAGGAUUAGAUACCCUAUUAUUAGUAACUUAAUAUUUUUUCCUUAUGAUUAAUAGUUAUAUUCUUUAAAGUAAAAAAAUUUGGCGGUAUUUUAUGCUGGUUAGAGGAACCUGUUCUAUAAUUGAUACUCCACGAUUAUAAAUACUUUUUUUAUGGUUUGCAUAUCGUUGUUUAAAAUAUAUUUUUAGAUAAUAUUUAUAAUUUUAAUAAUAAUUUAAUUCAGAUCAAGGUGUAGCUUAUAAAAAAGAAGAAAUGGGUUACAAUAAUUCUAUUAAUGGAUUUUAAUUUUUAAAGUUUUAUGAAAUUGGAUUUAACAGUAAAUUUAUAUAUAUUUAUAAGUUGACUUAAGCUCUAAAAU
rnacentral:rRNA from 1 species